CCUACGGGGUGCAGCAGUGGGGAAUAUUGGGCAAUGGGCGCAAGCCUGACCCAGCAACGCCGCGUGAAGGAAGCAGGCUUUCGGGUUGUAAACUUCUUUUCUGAGGGACGAAGAAAGUGACGGUACCUCAGGAAUAAGCCACGGCUAACUACGUGCCAGCAGCCGCGGUAAUACGUAGGUGGCAAGCGUUAUCCGGAUUUAUUGGGUGUAAAGGGCGUGUAGGCGGGAAAGCAAGUCAGAUGUGAAAACUCAGGGCUCAACCCUGAGCCUGCAUUGGAAACUGUUUUUCUUGAGUGCUGGAGAGGCAAUCGGAAGUCCAUGUGGAGCGGUGAAAUGCGUAGAUAUACGGAGGAACACCAGUGGCGAAGGCGGAUUGCUGGACAGUAACUGACGCUGAGGCGCGAAAGCGUGGGGAGCAAACAGGAUUAGAUACCCUAGUAGUC
rnacentral:rRNA from 1 species